rnacentral:lncRNA from 1 species
CUCACUUCUUCCAGGCUAUUACUGUGACCCCAGUGCCAGGCCUAUCCAGGACUUCAGCUUGUACCCAUGUCCUCAAGGAUAUUACUGCCCACUGGGCACAGCCAAGGCCACACAACACAGCUGCCCAGUAGGAACUUAUGGUUCUCAGAAGGGGCUGACAAACAUCACUGAGUGCCAGCCCUGCCCUGCUGGAAAGUUCUGUGCACAGCCCGGGCUCACAGCUCCUACAGGAGAUUGUGUUGCAGGACACUGGUGCAAAGUAGGAGCUGCCAGCAAAGACCCCACUGAUGGGACACAGGGCCUCCUCUGCCCAGCCGGACACUACUGUAUCAAGGGUAUCUCCCCACUUCCAGGGCCACUGUGGCCAUGGCACUAUGACACCCCUCUCCUGUUCCAACCCUCUGCUUCCUCCAUGUCUUCCCAGAGCAGGUCACAGCAGCCCUGCCUUGCAGCCAGGCCAAUCUUCCCCCCAUGUGCUCUCACAAGGCCCACACUGCUAUCCCUGAAAGCCUCCCAAAUGUGAACCUGGGACACCCUGCUGACCUGGAACAUCACUGACCUUCCUGUGUUCUUUCCCUCCUCUGCCUUUCAUGCCUUUCAUUUUUUACCCGAGAGGCCUGUCGAAGCCUGGUUUCUCUUUCCCUCCCAGGACCUUGCUGGCUGGACAGCAAGUACCACACAGCUUUUUAUUUACCUGCAACAGGGAUCUGUGUUCAGUCAGGGAAGGUGACCGAUUGCUCUAGAACUAAAAGGUCUACCCUCUGGAGGCUGGGGGAGGUUUUUCUACUCUGGUCUUUGAAGAGGGAGAGAGCCAGGGCACAGGAGUUGGGGGGCAGCCUGGCCACUUUCCUAAGCCUCCCUGAUCUUGUAGGAGCACAAGUCCCAACCCCCUGCCCAGCUGGCACCUGGUCUGUGGAAGGUACCAGAGCCCCAGAAGGAUGCCAACAGUGCUUUGAAGGACAACUCUGCCCUGGGAGGCACCUGCCAGCCUGGCCAGCACUUUGCCACUCAGGUAUACCCUGCACUUGGGGAACAGCCCCUGCUACUUCUACAGAGCAUCUCUCUGGGAUAUCCUGUCUCCCUGGACACUUCUGCCUUUGGGGAACUGCUGAUUCCACUCCAUGUCCUCUCGGCUCCUACAUCUCUAGCACUCACAC